GAUUUUCUGCUCCGGUUGGUGAGCGCGCCUGCGCGUUGACGGCGAUUUUGCGUUCUGAGGCUGCAGCGUCGGCAUCUUGAGCUGCCGGUUCGCGGGUUCGAGGCCAGGUUCCGCGUGUCGUGGGUUCGCACCCCGGACGCGAUGCUAUUCGACAAGGUGAAAGCAUUUUCGGUGCAGUUGGACGGCGCGACCGCGGGCGUCGAGCCCGUGUUUAGUGGCGGCCAGGCCGUGGCGGGCCGGGUGCUGCUGGAGCUGGCAAGCACCACGCGCGUGGGUGCCCUGAGGCUGCGCGCGCGGGGCCGCGCCCACGUGCACUGGACCGAGUCGCGCAGCGCGGGCUCGAGCACGGCUUACACGCAGAGCUACAGUGAACGCGUGGAGGUCGUGAGCCACCGCGCCACGCUCCUGGCGCCAGGUACGGAUGGGGGACCCCUGCUCGGCGCACCGGUUGUGUGCUUCCCAGCACCUGGACGGCGGUACCUCCGUCAGCCCUGGGACCCCAGCACAACCGCUCAGUCGCCUCCUUUUGCUCCUACCUGCAGAUACCGGGGAGACCACGACGCUGCCUCCUGGGCGCCAUGAGUUCCUGUUCAGCUUCCAGCUGCCCCCGUAAGUCCUCUGGGGUGCAGGGUUGCCCUCAGCCUGAAGCCCCUUCCAGAUUUGUACCUCCAAUACUGGGUAUCUGGGCAUCUCUGAGCCCCAAGACUCUCCCCCUGGGAGGCCCCCGGAGUGUUUGUGUCUCCUUCUCCCUGCCUGCUUGUCUCUGUAUCUUGCCCCCUGAAGUCCCGUCCCUCCACCCUAGGACCCUGGUGACAUCCUUCGAGGGCAAACACGGUAGUGUCCGCUACUGUAUCAAGGCCACCCUGCACCGGCCCUGGGUCCCAGCACGCCGGGCAAGGAAGGUGUUCACUGUCAUCGAGCCUGUGGACAUCAACACGCCAGCCCUGCUGGUGAGUGGCCGCCCUUGGGGAGGUAGGACGGGAGUAUUGUAGGAAGGGGCCUGGCUGCUGGGUGACACCAACCAAUAAGAUGGAGGUCAUAGGUGGGCCCUGGCAGGGAGGGAGGCAGGUGUGGGAAUGCGUGUGGAAUCCACUGGGGUCUGCACCCAUUUGCCGUGUGACUCUGGGCAAGUGUCUUGAAGCCGUCUCUGAGCCUCAGAUGCCUCUUCUGUGAAAUAGUCCAGAGCUAGGGCUUACCAAGUGCGAAUUACACACCAAACACUUGGCUUAUACAUUUCAUUUCUGGCUUUAUAAGAUGGGUUGUGUCCCUGGCUCUAUUUAACAGAUAGUUCCUGGAUUGUUAAAAAGAAACCAAGCCCUGCCCAAAGUCCUCCCUCAGCUGGGGGUGGUUUGGAAGCUCCACAGCGACUGUGGUUUGCACAAAGUGACUCAUCCAUGUCACUUUCCUCUACACCGACAGGCACCUCAAGCAGGGGCUCGGGAAAAGGUUGCCCGAUCCUGGUACUGUAACCGUGGCCUAGUCUCCCUUUCGGCCAAGAUCGACCGCAAGGGCUACACCCCAGGUAGCAGGGGGACCGGACUGGGUCGGGACGGGGGCUGAUGUUGGGGCUGCGGAGGGGAAACUGAGGCCCCACUGCUCCUCGCUGCAGGAGAGGUCAUCCCUGUCUUUGCCGAGAUUGACAACGGCUCCACACGUCCUGUGCUGCCUCGGGCAGCCGUGGUGCAGACACAGACGUUCAUGGCCCGAGGCGCCCGAAAGCAGAAACGGGCAGUGGUGGCCAGCCUCGCGGGCGAGCCGGUGGGCCCUGGGCAGCGGGCGCUGUGGCAGGGCCGGGCACUGCGGAUCCCCCCAGUGGGUCCUUCCAUCCUGCACUGCCGUGUUCUACACGUGGACUACGCACUCAAGGUAGGGCAUCCUGCUGGCCCUGGGGGACAGUGGCUACAUUCACCCUGUAUUCCCUCAGACUGGGGGAAGCUGAGGCCUCAGUCUCCCCAGGCAUAGGAGGGAGGUGGGGGUUGGGGAGGCUGCCUGGGCACCCUCCCUUAUGGUUCCUUCCUCCAGGUCUGUGUGGAUAUCCCAGGAACGUCCAAGCUGCUGCUAGAGCUGCCACUGGUGAUCGGCACCAUUCCCUUGCACCCUUUUGGCAGCCGUUCCUCCAGCGUGGGCAGCCACGCCAGCUUUCUGCUGGACUGGAGGCUGGGGGCCUUGCCGGAGCGGCCUGAGGGUAAGCUCCCACCCUGCUUACAUACAGAGGGGGGGUGGAUACAUGGAGAGGUGGAUGCCGGGUCAACUGUCUCACCACGAGUCCCCUGGAAUCCCAACCAAAGGACAUACAGCCUGGCAUCCCCAGAGCUGGCAUAAGCCAGCUCCUGGCCCCUGGUCCCUUGGAGCAGGGCUCUCUCCUGCCAACCUCACCCACCCUGUCUCUUGCUUCCAGCUCCUCCUGAGUACUCGGAGGUGGUAGCCGACACCGAGGAGGCAGCCUUGGGGCAGAGCCCCUUCCCGCUUCCGCAGGACCCCGACAUGAGCCUUGAAGGCCCGUUCUUCGCCUACAUCCAAGAGUUCCGCUACCGCCCGCCACCCCUGUACUCUGAGGAGGAUCCAAACCCACCCUCGGGGAUCAUGAGGCCGCGCUGCAUGACUUGCUGAACGGCACAGGGAUCCCUCAAGGAACGAGGUUGCACACCAGCUUUCAGCCACCGUGACUGUGGGGAGUGGCUGGACCAAGGGCUGACCUCCCCAACUGCAUCGAAGUUGGGGAACCAAGUCUCAGAGUGAGGCGGGGCCUUUCGGAUAUCACAUGGGACAGAGGAAGAGCCCGGCUGGAAUCUGACUUAUCUGGACCACUGUCCUUGUGAGGCAUUGAACUCCCAGUGCAGUAUCCGAGAGACUGUUUAAUAACCUGUCUUCCCAGCCUGUUGGUGGUGCCGGAAUCCCCGAGGAGCCUUCAGUCUGGGAGAAACAGAGCCAGACAUAGACAGUUCCAGCAUCACGGAACCAGAAGAAGAGACCUGCAGCUGUGAGAGUCCAGACAGGAAGCAGAGAAGGCGUCCUUGCGGAAAGGGUAUUUUAGCUGAGGCUUUGGAGUAUGAAUAGGAGCUCAGCAGGCAGACGAAUGAGGAAGAAAGGUCAGAGAAGGUCAGAGCUGAGUGAUGUUUGGAAUCCACCCCGUUUAUUGUAGAAUUGGGGGUUCAGAGGGCAGGUGCCUCAGAGUUGAGGCCACACAGUGAGGUCCGGUGGGUGAAAGGACCCAGGAACGAGGCGUUCAGAAAAGCAGGUUGUCAGAGCUAUGUGGAGUCUGUGGGUGGCAGGGGCAGCCGCUCCAGCCUUUGAAGACUUUGAAAGCCAGAGAUUCCCGGCGUAGGCUUGGACUUCUUGGGAGCUCCUCCAAGUACCCAGGGGCAUCAGAGCUGCCUGGGUGUUACAUGGCCCAAGGAAUGCAGGUUCAGGGUAGGACAGGCAAGACCAGAUACCUAAUGUGCAAAGUGAAAACACUGGGCUCCCAGUUAAACGAUGAAGAAUUCAAGACAGUGACAGCAUUACAUCACCCCUGGGGGCAGAGGUCAACCUAAGGUGACACACGGGGACUACUGUGCUUCCGGAGGCUCCCUGUGUCCUGGAGGAGAAGAGCAUUAGAGGGGGCAGCUGGACAAGCUCCCAACUGCAGAGUCCUAGACCUGGCUGGGGCAGGGCCCUGGCCUGGGACUCAGCAUUUCUGAUAUGCCUUAAGAAUUCAUUCUGUUUUGUACAAUUAUUUUUUUAAAAGUAAACGUGUGGAGAAAG
rnacentral:sRNA from 1 species